AACAGGAUUAGAUACCCUGGUAGUCCACGCUGUAAACGAUGCCGACUUGGAGGUUGUGCCCUUGAGGCGUGGCUUCCGGAGCUAACGCGUUAAGUCGACCGCCUGGGGAGUACGGCCGCAAGGUUAAAACUCAAAUGAAUUGACGGGGGCCCGCACAAGCGGUGGAGCAUGUGGUUUAAUUCGAUGCAACGCGAAGAACCUUACCUACUCUUGACAUCCAGAGAAUUUGCUAGAGAUAGCUUAGUGCCUUCGGGAACUCUGAGACAGGUGCUGCAUGGCUGUCGUCAGCUCGUGUUGUGAAAUGUUGGGUUAAGUCCCGCAACGAGCGCAACCCUUAUCCUUUGUUGCCAGCACGUAAUGGUGGGAACUCAAAGGAGACUGCCGGUGAUAAACCGGAGGAAGGUGGGGAUGACGUCAAGUCAUCAUGGCCCUUACGAGUAGGGCUACACACGUGCUACAAUGGCAUAUACAAAGAGAAGCGAACUCGCGAGAGCAAGCGGACCUCAUAAAGUAUGUCGUAGUCCGGAUUGGAGUCUGCAACUCGACUCCAUGAAGUCGGAAUCGCUAGUAAUCGUAGAUCAGAAUGCUACGGUGAAUACGUUCCCGGGCCUUGUACACACCGCCCGUCACACCAUGGGAGUGGGUUGCAAAAGAAGUAGGUAGCUUAACCUUCGGGAGGGCGCUUACCACUUUGUGAUUCAUGACUGGGGUGAAGUCGUAACAAGGUAACC
rnacentral:rRNA from 1 species